GAUCAGAAUAACUUCACGAAUCGCAUGGCCUUGCGCCGGCGAUGGUUCAUUCAAAUUUCUGCCCUAUCAACUUUCGAUGGUAGGAUAGUGGCCUACCAUGGUGGCAACGGGUAACGGGGAAUUAGGGUUCGAUUCCGGAGAGGGAGCCUGAGAAACGGCUACCACAUCCAAGGAAGGCAGCAGGCGCGCAAAUUACCCAAUCCCGAUACGGGGAGGUAGUGACAAUAAAUACUGAUACAGGGCUCUUUUGGGUCUUGUAAUUGGAAUGAGAACAAUCUAAAUCCCUUAACGAGGAACAAUUGGAGGGCAAGUCUGGUGCCAGCAGCCGCGGUAAUUCCAGCUCCAAUAGCGUAUAUUAAAGUUGUUGCAGUUAAAAAGCUCGUAGUUGAACCUUGGGCCCGUCCUGCCGGUCCGCCUCACCGCGAGUACUGGUCCGGAUGGGCCUUUCUUUCUGGGGAAUCCCAUGGCCUUCACUGGCUGUGGCGGGGAACCAGGACUUUUAC
rnacentral:rRNA from 1 species